rnacentral:rRNA from 1 species
GACGAACGCUGGCGGCGUGCUUAACACAUGCAAGUCGAACGCAGUGUCGAACGGGUGAGCAAUACGUGGGUAACCUGCCCUCCUUCUUGGGAUAAGGCUUUGAAACGGGGUCUAAAACACAAUAAAGGGGGAUGGCCUUGGGGCCUAUCAGCGUGUUGGUGGGGUGCUGGCCUUCCAAGGCGGUGCCGGGUCACCGGCCUGAGAGUGUGACCGGGCACAUGGGGACUGCGAGACGGCCCAGCGUGGUACGGGAGGGGGCAGUGGGGGAUAUUGCGCAAUGGGCGAAAGCCUGCUGCAGCGACGCCGCGUGGGGGAUGAAGGCUUUCGGGUUGUAAACCUCGUUCGCUAUCGAACGGGUAGGUGGAGAAGAAGCGCCGGCUAACUACGUGCCAGCAGCCGCGGUAAUAC